CGCUCUCACCCGCCUCCCACGUCCUCCUCUCCCCUCGCGCCCUCCCAUCGCCGCCGCCGCCAGGCUCCUCCCCAAUCCCCUUUCGCUCCUCCUCCAAUCCCCUCCAUCUCCACCUCGUCCUCCAACCUCUCCCUCCUCCCACCUUCUCUGGUCAUUCUCGUGCCACAAAAGAGAGCAGCGGGUGGUGGUCGGCGGGAGCAGCGCAGCCGCUGCCGCGCGCCGUGGAACGCUGGGAGGAGCUGCAGCAAGCCCUCUCCACAGCCUACCCACGCUGGCGCCGGUGAAGUAGAUGCUGGGGCCUGGCGGAGGAACCACCACGGCGGGAAGGGCAGGUGCACCGGCGGCCUCGAUUUCGUGCCGUGGAGAGGUCGUGCCCUUUCUCGGUCGGUGGUGGCGGGGAACGGCGAGCUCUCGCAGCGGCGGGGAACGGCGAGCUUGGCCGCCUCCCAUCCUCUCUCUCCGCAAGCUCCUCUCAGCGCGACUUUGGUGAAUGCUAGGCAGCGCAACAGGCUGCAAGGUCGCGUGGAUGGAGAUGAUUGCGUGGACCACGGCUACGGGGCGGUUCACCAUGGGAGACGGCUGAGGGAGUGACCGGGGCGGUUCCACGCGGCAGCGGCCGGCACGCAGGGGUCCACGAGUGAGCAGCCCAAUGGUGGUGCGCGGCCAGCUCAUGGAUGUGGCCAAUUGCUAGCUUGGGUCGCUGCUGCUUAGUCUGCUUCUUUUGUGUGCAUACUGCAUACCACCGCAUGGACCACAUCCUAGGACAAGUCUCAGCAAUUUAAUCGGACACGCAUCUCCUGCUACCGCUGCAUCCACGGAGGUCUCAUCGACAUCAACAUCAAAUAUGUAUGUGCACUGCCUUCCCGGUUCUGUAAUUCAACUAAGCUGUAAGACGGGUUGAUUGUGGCUGCUUUCAGGUUAUUAUUUCCUGUAUUAUGACUUAUUUCAGGAUUUUGCCAAACGCCUAGGUUUAUUUCAA